ACUCGAGCGCGCCACCCCCUCCCCGCCCCGCCUCACCGCACGCCGCCGGCGCGACCCCCGUCGCCGCACACCGCCGCCCCCCGGCCCCCCGUCGCCGCUCUCCGCCGGACCGCCCCCCGUCGCCGUCGCCGCCACCGCCUACCAUGGUCGUGCUCCGCCAACACCUACCCCACCGGCGCGCCUACCCCCAACCAAAUGCCCCCACACCCGCGGCCUUCCACCACCAGCGACCCACUGCGGCCUUCCACCGUCGGCUACUUUCGGCGUCAAGGGUUGAGGAGGCGGAUUCGGGGGCGGGCGACGCGGCGGGGGUCGCCGGUGACGAUGAGGAAGGCAGGCGUAAUUUUCCCCCUGACCCCUGCGAACCCUAGCAGCCGCACCAAUGCCACCCCGCCGCCAGGCGCCAGCCAUCGGGUCGCUUCCCUGCGCCUCCUCGCCUCCCUCUGCUCCAGGCCUCCCUCUCUCGCGCUGCUAGGAGCUGCUCCUGGUGUCUAGCAGCUGCCUUCCCCUCACUCAUCACAUCAAUCUCCUGCUCCCUCUCUCUCCAACAUCCCCCGCUGUCCUCUCGCAUCACACACAGGCGGUGGCUGUACAUAUCUGGUCGGGUGUGGCGUGUGUGGCAUCUGUGAUGUGCUUCGGCCGACCGGUUGUCCAUGCAUAGGAAGUGAAUGGUUGCAGGCAGAGGAAGCUAUUGGCCGUUGUCAGAGGAGGAUUAGGAUAGUUCCCUUCAUCUUUGUCAGAAAAUGAUAGUUCCCUUGAUUUGUUUUGUUCCGAAUUAGUACAAAAGUGCAAUGAUAUUUGUUUUGUGCCGCAGGAGCUUCAAGACGGCAGGGACCAAUUGCAACCUUCAUUUAUCUGUUCUGUGAACCAAUUUGUGAUGGCUUCUAAAUGCACUUGGCUGGAACAGAGCAAUUUUUUGGUAGUCUUCAGCCGGGAGAAGAUGGGUGCAGAGAAGAGUGAAACGGGCUCAGUCAGGUGUGAAAAGGAGAAUUUGAGAGAUAGCAACGAUGUGGUGCUGCACUGCUGCUCUCUUACUGCUAGCUUGCUACUUCUAGCUGAAUUUUGCUAUUUCUGCUAGCUGAAUUUUGCAUAGGCAUGGCGAGCUGUUUGAUUUCGUGGCAGGCCUGCUUAUCCUCAAUGUGUUCUGACUCGGAGGUUGGAGCCAGUUCGCAACUUUGAAUGUUGAAGCUGACAACGGACUCAAGCACUCCACCAUAUUCUUAGUAUUGCAUACCGUCACCGCUAAGGACUUAGCCAAGCUGCUUUUAAAAGUCAUAUAACAACUAAGUGCUAGAUAUUGUCAUAGAUAGAUUUUGGUGGAUAGGAAUUUAAUAAGCUACAAAGUAGUGUAGGUCGAGAUGAACAAAGAAUGGUAUGCAAAAUGUGUAACAUUAUUUGAUACAUUUACAUUGACAGGUCUGGACUCGCUGGAGGGUUGUAUGCUUUUGAUUGAUGAAGCUUAACACUUCUGCUCACUCAUUAUUUAUUCUAUAUUCAUAAAAUAUAUAUUUAUUUUGUACUAUAUCAUAGCAUGUUUGACGGGCAGAAGAAGAGACGGCCAUGGUGCUAGCUGAUAGCACCUGCUAACUUAAGAAGUCUACAUACCUUUUAUCUAAUAACUAAAAGAGAGUUUCUUACCAACUACUGAGCUUACAAGUCUUAGAUCUGUCUCUAAAGCCACUACUCAACUUCAUGUUGGUACUUUGCUGUAGAGUAUACCUCUAUAAUUCUCCAUCUAAGAUAGUACUAAAGUUUAUUGAUGAUGCUUAGUUUCAGGAUAUGCCUUACAAGCCAUCCAUGUGAGAUAUCCAAGGGGUUCAAGACGGAUUGAAAAGGAGCUGGAGUAGGUGGUCGAUUGAGGAAGGAGCUGGAGCAGAGGUGGAAUCGAGGCUGCCCCUACGUGCGCUAAGAAGCUGCCAGAAAUUAUGAGGCGCCUGCCAUCCGGACACUGCUGCGCUUUCUCCAUCUCUCAAGAUAAUUUUCCUCAGUUCAUCGAACUACGUGCUGAAACAUGUGUAUUGUUUCUCAAUAUAUCGGGCAUCAACCCACCUCCCAUGAGAUCUUUGAAUUUUCGACGCAUAUUACAUUUGCUGAAUUAUUUCCUCCAGAUAACUAUGCUUGGAUUCACAAAUGCGCGCAAUGCUUUCAAGUAGAGGUUAGUUCUACUUAAGCUGUGCUAUUCCACUUUCAAGUUUUUGGUCCUAGAAGUGUAAUACUUGGUAGGUUAGCUGUAGAAGCAGAAUGUAUAUGGCCUGAAUUUAUAUUUCAGAGUGUAUAAUCUGAUUCAGAGUAUUUUGACCCCUUGUGUUCUGAAACGUUGUGUUGUAUCAUUCUGUCCUGAAAGAAUAGAAGCAAUUCUUCUCUGGGAGAGAAUAUAAACGUUAUUCGCAAACAACAUGCAUCGUCAUUAAGUUUCUUAUUACCAAUUUAAACAUGGUCAGUAAUAGCACAACUAAAGUUUGUGAACAACAUAUCAUUAUGAAAUGGUUGGUUGGAUUGAGUUUUGUAUGGAUUCUACAAGGGCCAUUUCUAUGGAAUUACAAAUUAGUUUUACAUUUUUAUGGCUGGGCUCAUUGUCUUUCGAUUGCCCACAUUCGGAUGGGUUUGUUAUCAAGUGGACACCACAACCACCAUCAAUAGGGCGGGAAUGGAGGUGUGUGAUAUUUUUUUUUCCCGUUGCAACGCACGGACAUUUUUGCUAAUAUAAUAAUAAAGCACGGUGGGUUUCUGUCGUCCGUCACCCUUAUUUGCAAAAAAAGUCCCUGCUGUUUGUUCAAAUCAACCCGCAAUCCAUCUUUUAAGUCAUACCGAACUGUUUUUUUAGUUUUCUCAGAAACCCCCCCUGAUAUUUUAGGUUUUCUCAGAAACCCCCCUGAUAUUUUAGGUAAUCAACCCGAUGUCCAUAUUUAAGUCAAACGAAUCGUUUUUCUGUGUUUUAACAGAAAAACCUCUGACCUUUCGGUUAAUCAAUCCGCAGUUUAUCUAAAAAAAAAUUGUCCAUAUCUUUUAAAUCGUAACUCUGAUUUUAACAUAUUAUAUAUGAAAUUUGAUUAGAAAAAUGUGUAGAAUCCAAAUAUGUUGUUACUUUUAGCUGUUAAAUAUUUCUAAACUAUUAAUUUGGAUGCAAACUUAAUCUAUAGUGCACAAUCUGUUUUUUUUCGCACUGGCGGCGAUCCAAAUUGCAAAUAAGCACACAUU